UUACGGCCAUAUAUCGUUGAAACACCGGUUCCCGUACAACCCCCGAAGUUAAGCCAUGUCGAGCCUGGCCAGUACCUAGAUGGGUCAAUACUUGACAGUAGCUGGUGCUGCAAG